rnacentral:rRNA from 1 species
UCCAGAGGGGGCAAGCGUUGUUCGGAAUUACUGGGCGUAAAGGGCGCGUAGGCGGCCUGUUAAGUCGAACGUGAAAUCCCCGGGCUCAACCCGGGAACUGCGUCCGAUACUGGCAGGCUUGAAUCCGGGAGAGGGAUGCGGAAUUCCAGGUGUAGCGGUGAAAUGCGUAGAUAUCUGGAGGAACACCGGUGGCGAAGGCGGCAUCCUGGACCGGUAUUGACGCUGAGGCGCGAAAGCUAGGGGAGCAAACGGG